GACCGCGGGACUCCCAGGACCCCAGGGUGCAUUUGAGGAUUUUGCGCCAUGGAGGACCGGACUCGGCUGGACUCGGCUGGUAACAUCAGGAGUUAUGGACCAAUUCACAUCUGGACUAGCCUUUCAGGCUGACCCUCAACAUUCUAAAAAAUGCAGGGUGUCCAAAUGACUUCUGGAGAAAUGUCUCUGCCAACGACUUUACAAAUAUUAAAUGCAACUGUGC
rnacentral:lncRNA from 1 species